GCCUCCUUAGUUAAGUGGUAUAACGGAUCCAUGGUAAGGAUCUAUUGGUGGUCCGAUUCCGCCAGGAGGCACCA
rnacentral:tRNA from 1 species